GGGCAGCUCGGUGCGCUGCUUCGAAAACCGCCAAAUGUACUCUCACAGGGAUUCCCCUGGCUGCUGGCGGCAGCUUCAGAGAUCCCAAGAGUUUCCAGGACGCACGUACGUGCCCUGGAAGUUUCCAGCGAAGGCUUUGACCAGGUCGUCCUAGUUGGAGAUCUGCGCAGGAGGCAGAUGCUCCAGCCAGGCCCGGGCGGCGUCGGAGAGGAACAGGGGGAGGUUGCAGAUGAUGAGGUUUUCAUCGUCCGUUCCACCCAGCUGGCAGGCCAGUUGGUAGUCCGCAAGCCACAGUUCCGGACUUGUUUCCCCCGAGUACUUAGUGAUGGUAGUCGGGGCUCGGAACGAGGUCGGGAACGGCGCCCGUCGUAUGGCCCGGCUGAAGGCUUGCGGAUCUAGUGGUUCAGGCGAGGGGCUUCGAUCCUCCUCGCUGUCGUAGUGUCCCCCACGCCUAGGGUGGUAGCCUCGGCGCACCUUCUCGUCGAGGCAGGCUCGACGGUCGCGGCGGUGGUGCUUGUUGCCGAGGCGACCCGGGGCUGCAGGCGUCGCGUCCCGCGUGCGCCCGGUGUGGAUCGAGGCCUCCCACAUGAAUCGGGAAGUCGCCGCGUGAUGCUCCAGGGGGCACCCUUGCCUUCGGGAGGCAAAGCUCUCGGCCCGUCGAAUCGCGGCGUCCUCCAGGAGAUUCUUGAGUUCUCCCUGGAUACGCCGCCCCUCGGUGGUGGAUGGCUCCGGCAUCGCUCAGAGCAGCAUUGCCGCUGCAGCCAGAUUUUGGCUGACCCCGCUGGAGGCUGGGGCAGUCUUGCCCUAGCAUCGUCAGCGAUACGGCGCUGGACGUCCCGGGCCUGAUGACGCGCUUCUCUGGCGAGUGCUCGGCCUGCCCACUCCUGCUCGAUGUUUUGCCGGAGCUGCACAAGUUGUCCUGCUUCCUCGUCGAGCUUGGCCUGCAUCUCGCGGAUUUGCUCGAGCUGUGUGUCUUGACCCCCCCCCCCCCGCAGGGACUGGGACCACAGCUAGCUCCCGCAGGAUGUCAACGCGAGGUGCAGGCCUAGGGGGAUCAUCAUCCUCCGGCAUACCAAGGUGGUUGCCUUCAUCGUGACCCCCUAGAUCGACGUGGAAACAUUCGCGACUUGGGCCACAACCCUCGUCGUCAAGGCUGUGGCCAUCAUCGGAGCAAUCGGAGAGGCAGUAGUCACAUGCGGUCAUGAAGUCUCGCAUGGCACUGAGAUUACCGAGCCCAGAGAAAUCCCAACCAGAGUCAGGCUCAUCCUCUUCCUCGGAACCUGGGGGCCCGUAGGUCGAGACGGUCGUCAGUCGGUCCCAGGUUGACCACAUAUGGUACCCCGGAAGGUUAGGAUAUGCCUUUGUGAAAGCGCUCACCAAAGCGGGGUCGCUUGGAGGAUCGAAGCUGAAUCUAAAAGGCACAGGGUGGAAAAUGGACUGUACCUUUUGAUCGAUGGAUGGUGACGAAGUCGCGUCGGGGACGGACUGCACCGUUAUCUCAAGUACGAGGCUAACGCCCAGCAAGCCCUCCGCGAGUGUGCUGGCGUCAUCUGUCCGCUUGGGGUUGGCACGUUGCGGGGAAACGAAACCCGUUGUUGUCUCAGGCGCGAGGACAACGCCUGACAUGUCCCCCGCUGGGGUGCCAGCGUUGUCGACUCGCUCGACAGCUGACGAGGCGCCGCCUCCUGCCUGGCCACGGUUGCCCCGCCUCCCCUCCUACGGCGAGGAAGGCGACGGGACAAACUCGAAUGCUGCUCUUCUGCCACGGGGGGAAAACGUCGUCGAGUCCGCCACCGCCGGGCGAGCUGACGGCCGUCAUUGUCGUCGCCGCGCUGCGGGGGAAGGAGUACCAUGUCGUAGCUGCCGUUGAGGGACAUGAACUCGAGGCUCCCGAAGCGGAUCAGCGUCCCGGGCAGAAGAGGUUGCUGGAGACUACUCAUCUGGAACUCAACGGGAAGUUGUUGUCAACACGCAGCAGGCCCCUACCUGGCGCACCAACUGUCGGCGUUUCGACCCCGGGGGGUCCCUGGACCGACGAGUAAAAUUGUCGUUGCGUGUCCCAGCCCAGAUGGGUUGGCGCGAGAUGGAACACAAGGGGGGAAAACGCGGCUUGUGUUAUCCUGCGCUAGGGGGAUGCGCUUGCAGUACGGGUUACAAGCGCUCGCGGGGGAGAGAGAGAGCGAGCCUGUUCGUCAGCCCGUCCUCCCGCGCGACCACCUUCUCGCAUGAAGGCCCUGGACCUCCCUUUUAUAGAUGCAAGGAGAGGGUCCAGGUGUACAAUGGGGGUGUAGCUAUGUGCUAACGUGUCCGGCAGAGAGGUGUCUGAGCCCUAUGUACAUGCCAACGUGGCUGUCGGAGAGGUGCUAGAGCCCUGUGUACGCGGUAUUGUGGCCGUCGGAGGAGCGCUUGAGCCCUGUAGAAGCACAGCUGUCGGGGCUGCUUGGACCUUGCUGACGUCUCCUUGCUUCCGUAGGGGGCUGAGAACCACCGUCGUCAUGGGCGCACGCGGGGAGCCAUCAUUACUUGAUACCGGGGCGAGCCUGGAUGGGACACCGGUCUUGUUCCCCCGUAGCCUGAGCUAGCUAGGGGUAGGGUAAUGAUGCAUCCCUCGUGGCGUGGUCGGUCUGAGCCCAAGUUUGGGCGAGGCGGAGAUUCCUCCUGAGACCGAGGUCGGGGUCGGGUGAGGACGUGAUUCCUCCCGAGGUCGAGGUUGAGGCCGAGCCCUGGGGUCGGACGAGGCGGAGACCACCUUUCGAGGCCGAGGCGGGGGCCGAGCCCUGGGGUCGGGCGAGGCGGAGUCCUCCUUCCGAGGCCGAGGUUGAGGCCGAGUCCUGGGGUCGGGCGAGGCGGAGACCUCCUCCUGAAGCCGAGGCCCAAGGUCGGGCGAGGCGGAGCUUCCUGUUGCGCCUGAGGUUGUCAGCCUCACCCUGGCGGGUGGCACAGCAGUCGGAGAGGGGCGAGCGGCGCUGUUUUCCUGUCAGGUCGGCCAGUGGAAGGUCGAAGUGUCGGCCAGUGGAAGGUCGAAGUGACUGCGGUCACUUCGAACUUGCCGACUGAGGCACGUGUGUCAGGAUAAGGUGUCAGGCGUUCCUCGCAUUAAAUGCGCCUGCGAUACGGUCGGUUGGUGAGGCGAUUUGGCCAAGGUUGCUUCACUACGAAGCCUGCCUGAGCUGGGCUUCGGGCGAGUCGAGGGUGUGCCCGUUGCUUGAGGGGGCCCUCGGGCGAGGCGUGAAUUCGUUUGGGACUACUGUUCCCGCUCGAGGCUGGGCUCGGGCGAGGCGAGAUCGUGUCCUUUGAGUAGGCGAAGCCUUGACCUGAAUUGUGCCCAUCAGUCUAUUGCAGCUUGUGCUGAUGGUGGUUACCAGCCAUGUUUAGGAGUGUUGGGGGUACCCCUUUAUGGUACCCGACAGGUCACUUCAUUAAUAUUGUCCAUCAUUGAAUUAUAAUAAUCACUGGCUGUUAGAUCAUUUUGCUUGGUGAAUCUAACAACAUUUAAGCUUAUUUCCACAGGCAACACUGCUUCCUGACCAUAGACAAGCUCAAACGGAGAUACUUUAGUAGCACGGUGUUUAGAUAUCCUAUGAGCCCAUAAAGCUUCGGAUAAAAUCAUAUGCCACUGUUUAGGAUGAUCAUAUAUUUUCUUCUUAAUCAGGCUAAUCAAUGUUCUAUUACUAGACUCGGCCUGCCCAUUGGUCUGAGCAUAAUACAAAGAAGAAUUGAGCGAUCUGAUUCUAUAUAAUUCAGCAAACUCACGUACCUCCUUUGACAUGAAAGAAGCCCCCUGGUCUAUAGUUAAAGUCUGGGGAAUAUCGAAUCUAUGAAUAAUAUGCUGAGUUAUGAACUCGAUUACCUCCCUGUGUCAUGUUCUUUAGAGCAACGGCUUCGGUCCAUUUAGUAAAGUAGUCAGUGGCAACUAACACAAACCGAUGCCCCUUUGAUGAUGAAGGAUGUAUUUCUCCUAUAAAGUCCAAUCCCCAUCCUCUGAAAGGCCAAGUUUUAAUGAUAGGAUGUAAUUCGGCUGCAGGGAUCAUCUGUAAGUCACCGAAUUUUUGACAUACUUGGCAUCCUUUGUAGUACUUAAAACAAUCGGCUAUCAUGUUAGGCCAAUAGAAGUCAGAUCUUUGCAAUAACCAUUUCAUCUUCAGAGCCGAUUGAUGGGUACCACAAAUUUCUUCAUGUACUUCGGCCAUGACUAAUAUAGCAUCACUUGGGCCCAAGCACUUAAGCAGGAUGUCAUCGGUCGUUCGGCGGUAGAGUUCAUCACUCAUUAAAACAUAUUUGAAAGUCGUACGCCGAACGUUCCUAUUCGUCCUAACACUAUGAUUUUGUAGGUAAUCAACUAUGGGUGUCCUCCAAUCAAUUUCAUCGACUUUGUUAUUAGCCGAUCUUACCCAAAGGACUUCCCUAGCAACCUCGGAUGGUCCGGAGCCCUCACCCGGAUGGUCCGUGACCUGGGAAAUUGGCCCUGCACCGGUUAUCAGAUUUUCGGUGUCGUGAAAUUCCCUCGUUUUAUCCGAUAACCUGAUGCAUCUUGUGCCAAAUUGUUAGCUUUGUAAUUCUCAACCCUAGAGAUGUGUCGAAUGCUGAAUUCGUCAAAGGAAUGAAUUAUGCUCCAAUAUUUUUCAAGGUAACUAUUUUGAGUGUCAUCACCAAGUGCCUUCACAUGUUUCACUCCCAUAUAGUUUAAUAGCUCCAAGCCGAAUAGAAGGGCUUCAUAUUUGGCUUGAUUGUUAGUAUAGUAAGUUUUUAAUCAGCUAGAGAAGUCGAAGAAAGCGUUACUUGGUGAAACAAGCACAAUGUCAAUUCCUUGUUCUUCGUUGCAAACAGAUCCAUCAAUAUAUAGAGUCCAUGGAGUAAAAGUGGGAUAUGAUAUGCCUAGUUUAGGAGCAUUAUCAAUCCAAUGUUCUACAAUAAAAUCUGUUAUGACCUGGCCUUUUCAUAGAUUUCAAUGGUUCAUAGGCCAAGUCAUAUUCUAUAAGUGUAUAAGCCCAUUUACCGAUUCUACCACUCAUUAUCGGGUUUUGCAACAUGUAUUUGAUCACAUCGGCUUGACCAAAAAACAAUGUAAUGACUAGACAAUAGAUAACACCUACAUUUGGUGCAUGCAUAAAACAGGCAUAGACAUAACUUCUCAAUGAAAGUGUACAUUGUUUCAGCUUCCACCAGCCUCUGACUUACGUAGGUUACCACAUGCUCCUUUUCUUCGGUUUCUUAUGUCAGAACAACUCCAAUAACUUUAUAUUUGGCUGCAAUGCAUAAUCUCGAACGGUACUUCUGCCUGUGGUGCUUUUAAUAUGGGAGCCAAAGACAAAUAUCUUCUAAUAAGGUCAAAUGCUUCUUGAUGUUCUGCCCCCAGGUGAAUUCGGCAUCAUUUUUAAGCCGAAGUAUAGGAGUGAAGGCAUUGAUCUUCCCGGCUAGAUUAGAAAUAAACCUUCGUAAAUAAUUUACCUUGCCGAGGAACUUCUGCAUUUCAAGCUUACAUGUCGGAGGUCCCACAUUUCGAAUGGAUUUAAUUCGGUCAGGGUCUAUCUGUAUACCAUGUUCAUGAAUGAUGAAUCCUAAGAACUUACCAGCCGACACUCCAAAAGCACAUUUAUGUGGGUUCAUUUUUAGACCAUACCGACACAUUUUAUCAAAGGCUUUACGCAAAUCAGCUAUAUGUGAACUAAAUUCAACUGAUUUGACUACAAUAUCAUCAAUAUAGACUUCCACAGUGUUUCCCAACAACUCGUGAAAGAUCAAAUUCGUAGCCCUCUGAUAAGUAGCACCAGUAUUUUUAGACCAAAUGUCAUGACAACCCACUCAAAUAAACCAAUAAAGCCUGGACAUAAAAAGGUCGUUUUGGACGCACCUUCUUAGGCCAUGAAAAUCUGAUUAUAUUCGGCAUUGCCAUCAAGAAAGCUAAUAAUUCUAUUUCCUGACGCAUUAUUGAUCAACGUGUCAGCUAUGGGCAUGGGAUAUUCAUCUUUAGGAGUUGCUCUAUUCAAAUUGCGAAAAUUAAUGCAUACUCCCAUCUUACAUGAUUCUUUCUUCUCCACCGGCACAAUAUUGGAGACGCACUUUGCGUAUCUGCAAGGUCUAAUAAAAUUAGCUUCUAGCAGCCGGUAAAUUUCGUCCUUUAUUCGUGGGAGUAAGUCUGGACGAAAUGUUCUAGCUUUCUACUUGAAAGGUCUGAAACUGGACUUAAUAGGAAGCCGAUGCUCUACUAUCUCUCGGCUUAACCCUGGCAUCUCAGUGUAAUUCCAAGCAAAGCAAUCAGAAUACUCUUUUAAUAAACCGAUCAUUUCAUUUCUAGGAUCGGUCUCCAUGGUCUUGUUCACAAAAGUCGGUCUCAAAGUUUUACCAUCUCCUAUGUUGAUCUCCUCCAAAGGAUCAGCCGAUGUAAACCCCUGUCCUAACUUGCCGAGAUCCCUAAAUUCCUCUAUUAGGCCUCCCUCAGAGGAACUAGACGGUCUCUACGUGGGUGCAAACUGUCCGGUCUCGAAGGCCGGACUGUCCGUGACAACGGAUCCACGCUGCGACGCUUGCCCGGCCUUAAGGGCCAAACCAUCCUGCGAAAGAUCGGACCAUCCGACCUUAGGGGUCGGACUAUCCGUGACCUGGGACAUGUUUCUUAUGAGUGUACUCAUCAUUUAAACUUUACUUGGGAUUCAGCCGAUUUUCCGUCGGCUCUAGCAUUACAGGGGUGAAGCCUUUCCUAUCUAUACUUAUGAAUUGAUAAUCAGAAAAGUCAAUUCCUGUGAGACAUGUAGUGGUCUCAUAGGUCCAAAGUAUAGGGGCAUCGGCCACGGCGAUGCAGGCCGAUGCAUCAGCAUGUACUUGUUCUACAUCAUCGCCUACCCAUUGUAGUAACAUUUGAUGUAAAGUAGAAGGUAUACAUUGAUUAGCAUGAAUCCAAUCUCUGCCUAAGAUUAUACUAUAAUUUCCUUCUACAUCAGCAACGAAGAAUGCAGCAACAAGGGUCUUGGUCCCGAUGGUUAACUUAACGGACGUGAUUCCCUUGGCUUUGAUCGAACUAUCAGUCCCAACACCACUGAGGGUCAUAUUAGUCUUGACAAGUUCAUCAUCCUGUUUACCUAAUUUUAUAUACAAUGAAUAAGACAUUAGAUUUACGCCCCCCGGUCUACCAACAUCUUAGCAAUGUGUUUUUCAUUAAUGUGGCCGUGCACGAAGAGUGGCUUUAAAUGAUUUACCGACUAUUUUGUCUUAGUGCAGGCAGCCUCUUUAGGACCAAAGUCGAACUGAGCAACAGCAGGUUCAUUGUCGCCGAUAAUAGUACAAUCGGUGAAGAAUGUAAUAACAUUUACGUCCAUACCUGGGUGCUCUGGAGAAGCUUCAUAGUCGACCAGGUCUUCUCCUAGUAGGUCGUCCUCCUCCAUGGGUGUUGGCACGUCGUUGGAGGUAUCCUGGUGUAGUGCGGACGGUCUGGACUCAGGGGUCAGACGGUCCGCGCCCUAUGCGGACGGUCUGGCCUUUAUAGCCGGACUGUCCGCCAUACCUGCAGAGAGCUGCAUAAUUGUUAUUUUAUUUUCCGUCUUUGUGGCCGUUUGCUUUUCCUCAAUGGCCUUUGGUCUCCAUCUCUUUUGUGGUGGCGGGUACUGCAGAUGUGUGUCAUUGAAUAUCUUUUUCGCCUCCUUUUCCUGGUUCUCCUUCACUCUUAGGCGCUGUAAUUUUCGCUUUUUGGAUCGUGUCAAUCCCGAUGGGCACCAUCGGGGCAUGGAGUAUUUUGGAUCGACUGUUUUGUUGACAGAUGUAUCUUCUUCUUUUUUGCUUGUGUUGGUAGAUUCACCAAAAAUCAUCGGCCCUUCUUAUUUUCUUGUAUGAUGACAUCUGGUGUUCCUAGUUUGAUGAUGUCUCCUUUUGUCGUCCUGUUGGAGGCUGUAGCUAUAUGCGCCCCUAUCGGAUUAGUCGGCCUUUUGAAAGUUGCCUAGAGGGGGGGGUGAAUAGGCAAGUUAAAACUUCUUCAACAAAAUCUAGAAGCAAACUGGGUAAAACUGAAUUGAUCUCGAAAUUCACCCAGUUAACUUUGGAAAUGAGAUGUUUUAAAUGAUCCACAGGGUUCAAAGUAGUAGAUCUGAGAAGGGCACUUCUCAAAAUCUACACACCAAAAAGAUAUAAACAAUUCUUUCGCGGGAUGGUGAGAGAACGAAGAACACCAACAAACACAAUGAGCAAGAACACAAGAGACACAAGAUUUAUCCCGAGGUUCGGUCACACCACCAAGGUGCCCUACUUCCUCGUUGAGGCGCCCACAAAGAGCCGGGUCUCUUUCAACCCUAAUCCUCCCUUUGCCGACCACAAAGGUCAAGCUCACACACUAAUCUUUGCUCAAACGAGCGGGUAAUACAAACUUUCUUGUGGUCUUCCACAAGAUUUGGAGACUCACAAGAGACACCUAGUCGUCUAGGAGCUAGAAGCUCCAAGAGUAAUGAAUCCACAAAGAACUCGAUGUAGUACCAAAGCUCGAAUCAAGAAGAAGAGCAAGAGAGAUUUAGAGAUGAAGCACAAAACCGCAGUUCUCAAGCUCACUCAAAGAUUUCUCUCCAAAGAUUUGAAAUGGGAGAGGCAAGAGAUGUGAGAGAGAGAGGGAGGUGUUUCUUGGGUUAGAAAUGGAGUUCAAAUCAUGCUCACUGCUGUGGGGAGAGAGGUAGGAGGUAGUAUAUAUAGUGGGAGCUCAAAACUAGCCGUUGGACUAAAAAAUCCGUUGAAAACCGGUUGAACCGCCCCCUAGGGCGGUUGAACCGCCCCUGGCAGACCUGGCAGCCUGUCUGCCAGUCUGACUGGCAGACUGACGCGCAGACUGACCACAGACUGGUCAAAGUUGACCAAGACCGGUUGAACCGCCCCUAAGACCGGUUCAACCGCCUGGGGCAGGCUGACAGACAGUCUACCAGUCAGACUGGCAGACUGCAAGUCAGACUGCAAAAACAGGUCCUGACACCGGUUGAACCGCCCCUAGGGCCGGUUCAACCGGUAUUGACCAGUGAGGUCCGGAAAAAAAACCCCGGCUGAACUUUUCUUGGACCCCGGUUGAACCUCUCUGGACCCCGGUUGAACUUGCCCUGGACCCCGGUUGAACGUUCAGCUCAGCUGCAGCUGAAGAAGCUCAACUCAGCUGAAGUCAAGUUCAGCUGGAAAGCUCAGCUGCAGUUGAAGAAGUUCAGCUGCUUUUCAACAAGAACACUCUAGGUUUCUCAAACCUAACCAUGGUCAACCAUAGAACGUUAAAGAGAUUUUUGCUUUUCAAAAAUAGCUUUUGAAUAGAGAGGUUUGAGCUUUGGCAAACACCAACCUUCUUUUUGGAUCCCCCUUUAUAGUACGACGAUUCCUAUACUCAAGUUAAAUAAAAUAUAAUGAAGUAAACUCCUUGAGUCAUUGGUGUCUCAUGUGUGAUUUCUCCAUGGCAUUGCUUCAUAAGGAUCACAAACAUCUUUGUCUCACCUUUUGAAGCAAACUCAAAUCAAACCCUGUGACUUGUACCAUAUCACCUUAUAUGAGUUCAAAUCAUGGCUUCAAGUCACCUUACUGAUGCAUCAACAUGUUGUAACUCUUCAUAGCUGAUUAGUUCAUCGACUUAGUGCAAGUACUCUCUUCUUCACCUUAGCCAUGGUACCUCGGUCUACAAGCCGUCGCUUGACCUUCACCUUCGCUUAGUUCCUCGAAGCCCUUUCCUUGCUAUCUUCACCCUAUCAAGCCAUUCUUGAGUCACAUCAAAUUGAGCAUCCAUUGAGAGAACCAUUUCUUCAAUAUUGUGAACCUUGCUUGAAUGUCUUCUAGAUAUAAUUGUCAAGAUCAAUCAAGCUCUAGUUUGAUUCUCAUAGAAGCAUAUAUGGACUGACAGUAAUAUGGUCAAGCCAAUUCACGAUUCCUCAUAUCUUAUUCUCUUUGGCUUGACCAAUCCUCUAAAUCACUUUGUCCUCUAUUCUGGUCAUAUGUAUGUAGUGAUUUCUCAGGUCUUGUCCAUAUAUUCAAACCAAUAUAGAGAUCAUAUUAUAUCCAUUUGCAUUGUCUCAUUGGUUAUUUAACCUCGUGUUGAACCUUUGUUCACUGAUCAUUAUACACUAUUCAAGUAUGUUCAUCAUACUGAAUUUCCUGUUCAACACUUAGCAAACUCGUUAGACCUUUAAAUGUGUUGUUAUCCAAAUCACCAAAACUCACAAAAGGGAUGAAUGCACUUUCAAUCUCCCCCUUUUUGGUGAUUGAUGACAACACAUUUAAAGCUUACAUAAGAUUUGAUAAAUAAGAUUUUAAAUCCUAUGAUAUAGUUUCCUCCCCCUAAAUAUGUGCAUUUCAGAAAAUAACACUUUUGUACUCAAAUGCCAAAAGCACAUAUUUGGGUCAAAGUAUGGAGACAACUUAUAUCAUACUAUUCAUGGGGUGCAGUGUGUCAUAAAAUAAACAUGAUGCUCAUGAAAUAGUAUGCACUCAUCAACUUUCUACAUCUUAUGUUUUUCUUAUGAUUCCCCCUUUUGUUAAUUAUUUCUCCCCUUUUCAAAAAUAAAGAUAAGCUUUAAUGCAAAAUUUCUCCCCCUUUGUCAUAAAUCUCCAAAAAGGAUACAAAGAAUAUAAAGGGUAGAAAUUAUGAUUUAAGCAAGAUGUGAACACACUAUCAUGAAAAGGAUCCUUAGAAGACAAAAAAAUAAUGUAGAAGUGACAUGAAGUGAUGUACCUUUGUGUUUUACCUUUUCAAGGGGGUGUUCCAAACUUGUGUUGGAUUUUGAAUUCAUUUUGCAAUAUCUUGUUGGCAUAAUUUUGACAUAGGUCCAAGAUAUCAAAUGAAUAUUGUCAUACUAAUUGAAAGAUAAAUCUUGAUACCUGGAGUCUAGAUGUCACCUAGCAUUUUCUUAUCAUAACAAGAGGCAGCAUGAAAAUUGUACAAGUAUGAAUUAUACAACUAGUGAUCAUGUACGAAAAAUAUCAAUUGAAAACCACCAAUUGAUACAAUUUGAUAGAUAAUCAGAUCACUAAUUACAUAUUACACUAAGUUCUCCUCAAGUUUUAGUGCACACAUAUAUAUGAAUUCAAUUGAUACCUGUUGAGAGUACUUAUUUGCAACUUAAAGUACCAUUGGCAUAAAAGGAGUAUCAAUUGAACAUAAUCAUGCAACAUAAGAAACAUGUGCACUAUUUAAUCAAUUAAGUUCUAGACAGGAGAAUCUAUAAGCUAUGCUAUUUCAGAUAUUUGCAAUCCAAAAGGAUGUGAUACAUAUUUACCAAUUUUAGAUGAUGUUGGAGUAGUAUAUAAAAGAGAAACUCAUUCUCUUAUGAAAUGUAUAACAUAUACAUUUAUUGGAGCAAAGAAUCUUUGAUACCCAUCAAAUUUGCAGUGGAAGCGAUUGUCUUUGCCCGAAGAUUCCUUUCUAAUUCGAGACUUUGUUCCAUGCCAUAUGGUCUUCAUUAUAAUCAUGAAUUUCUAUCUUAGCUUUUGAUAGGCUUGACAUUUCAAAGAGAAACUUAUCCUCUUUAAACAAUCAAGAGAAACUCAUUCUCUUCAAAGAACUACACAAAUUCACUAAAAGAAAAUGUUAGUCUUUAAGGACACAAGAUAUAGAAUGAGCUCCCCCUAAAUGUAUGCAUCAAGUACUUGAAUUACUUGUAACAUGCAUUUGAUUCAAUUAAGAUUCUUAGAGGAGUUCAUCAUAUAUCUUGGUCAAGGCAUAAUAUAUUUGAAAUAAUUGAAUUUAUGCUAGAGAACACAUGUCGUUCCCCAAAAGAACUAAUCCAUGGGGUGACAUGUGGUAAUUAUUUGAUCAUUUCUUUGGAACCACUCAUCCUCAUUUGAUGUUCUUCUUUCACCAAGGUGUGAAUUGAAAGUUGCCUAGAGGGGGGGGGUGAAUAGGCAAGUUAAAACUUCUUCAACAAAAUCUAGAAGCAAACUGGGUAAAACUGAAUUGAUCUCGAAAUUCACCCAGUUAACUUUGGAAAUGAGAUGUUUUAAAUGAUCCACAGGGUUCAAAGUAGUAGAUCUGAGAAGGGCACUUCUCAAAAUCUACACACCAAAAAGAUAUAAACAAUUCUUUCGCGGGAUGGUGAGAGAACGAAGAACACCAACAAACACAAUGAGCAAGAACACAAGAGACACAAGAUUUAUCCCGAGGUUCGGUCACACCACCAAGGUGCCCUACUUCCUCGUUGAGGCGCCCACAAAGAGCCGGGUCUCUUUCAACCCUAAUCCUCCCUUUGCCGACCACAAAGGUCAAGCUCACACACUAAUCUUUGCUCAAACGAGCGGGUAAUACAAACUUUCUUGUGGUCUUCCACAAGAUUUGGAGACUCACAAGAGACACCUAGUCGUCUAGGAGCUAGAAGCUCCAAGAGUAAUGAAUCCACAAAGAACUCGAUGUAGUACCAAAGCUCGAAUCAAGAAGAAGAGCAAGAGAGAUUUAGAGAUGAAGCACAAAACCGCAGUUCUCAAGCUCACUCAAAGAUUUCUCUCCAAAGAUUUGAAAUGGGAGAGGCAAGAGAUGUGAGAGAGAGAGGGAGGUGUUUCUUGGGUUAGAAAUGGAGUUCAAAUCAUGGCUUCAAGUCACCUUACUGAUGCAUCAACAUGUUGUAACUCUUCAUAGCUGAUUAGUUCAUCGACUUAGUGCAAGUACUCUCUUCUUCACCUUAGCCAUGGUACCUCGGUCUACAAGCCGUCGCUUGACCUUCACCUUCGCUUAGUUCCUCGAAGCCCUUUCCUUGCUAUCUUCACCCUAUCAAGCCAUUCUUGAGUCACAUCAAAUUGAGCAUCCAUUGAGAGAACCAUUUCUUCAAUAUUGUGAACCUUGCUUGAAUGUCUUCUAGAUAUAAUUGUCAAGAUCAAUCAAGCUCUAGUUUGAUUCUCAUAGAAGCAUAUAUGGACUGACAGUAAUAUGGUCAAGCCAAUUCACGAUUCCUCAUAUCUUAUUCUCUUUGGCUUGACCAAUCCUCUAAAUCACUUUGUCCUCUAUUCUGGUCAUAUGUAUGUAGUGAUUUCUCAGGUCUUGUCCAUAUAUUCAAACCAAUAUAGAGAUCAUAUUAUAUCCAUUUGCAUUGUCUCAUUGGUUAUUUAACCUCGUGUUGAACCUUUGUUCACUGAUCAUUAUACACUAUUCAAGUAUGUUCAUCAUACUGAAUUUCCUGUUCAACACUUAGCAAACUCGUUAGACCUUUAAAUGUGUUGUUAUCCAAAUCACCAAAACUCACAAAAGGGAUGAAUGCACUUUCAAUCUCCCCCUUUUUGGUGAUUGAUGACAACACAUUUAAAGCUUACAUAAGAUUUGAUAAAUAAGAUUUUAAAUCCUAUGAUAUAGUUUCCUCCCCCUAAAUAUGUGCAUUUCAGAAAAUAACACUUUUGUACUCAAAUGCCAAAAGCACAUAUUUGGGUCAAAGUAUGGAGACAACUUAUAUCAUACUAUUCAUGGGGUGCAGUGUGUCAUAAAAUAAACAUGAUGCUCAUGAAAUAGUAUGCACUCAUCAACUUUCUACAUCUUAUGUUUUUCUUAUGAUUCCCCCUUUUGUUAAUUAUUUCUCCCCUUUUCAAAAAUAAAGAUAAGCUUUAAUGCAAAAUUUCUCCCCCUUUGUCAUAAAUCUCCAAAAAGGAUACAAAGAAUAUAAAGGGUAGAAAUUAUGAUUUAAGCAAGAUGUGAACACACUAUCAUGAAAAGGAUCCUUAGAAGACAAAAAAAUAAUGUAGAAGUGACAUGAAGUGAUGUACCUUUGUGUUUUACCUUUUCAAGGGGGUGUUCCAAACUUGUGUUGGAUUUUGAAUUCAUUUUGCAAUAUCUUGUUGGCAUAAUUUUGACAUAGGUCCAAGAUAUCAAAUGAAUAUUGUCAUACUAAUUGAAAGAUAAAUCUUGAUACCUGGAGUCUAGAUGUCACCUAGCAUUUUCUUAUCAUAACAAGAGGCAGCAUGAAAAUUGUACAAGUAUGAAUUAUACAACUAGUGAUCAUGUACGAAAAAUAUCAAUUGAAAACCACCAAUUGAUACAAUUUGAUAGAUAAUCAGAUCACUAAUUACAUAUUACACUAAGUUCUCCUCAAGUUUUAGUGCACACAUAUAUAUGAAUUCAAUUGAUACCUGUUGAGAGUACUUAUUUGCAACUUAAAGUACCAUUGGCAUAAAAGGAGUAUCAAUUGAACAUAAUCAUGCAACAUAAGAAACAUGUGCACUAUUUAAUCAAUUAAGUUCUAGACAGGAGAAUCUAUAAGCUAUGCUAUUUCAGAUAUUUGCAAUCCAAAAGGAUGUGAUACAUAUUUACCAAUUUUAGAUGAUGUUGGAGUAGUAUAUAAAAGAGAAACUCAUUCUCUUAUGAAAUGUAUAACAUAUACAUUUAUUGGAGCAAAGAAUCUUUGAUACCCAUCAAAUUUGCAGUGGAAGCGAUUGUCUUUGCCCGAAGAUUCCUUUCUAAUUCGAGACUUUGUUCCAUGCCAUAUGGUCUUCAUUAUAAUCAUGAAUUUCUAUCUUAGCUUUUGAUAGGCUUGACAUUUCAAAGAGAAACUUAUCCUCUUUAAACAAUCAAGAGAAACUCAUUCUCUUCAAAGAACUACACAAAUUCACUAAAAGAAAAUGUUAGUCUUUAAGGACACAAGAUAUAGAAUGAGCUCCCCCUAAAUGUAUGCAUCAAGUACUUGAAUUACUUGUAACAUGCAUUUGAUUCAAUUAAGAUUCUUAGAGGAGUUCAUCAUAUAUCUUGGUCAAGGCAUAAUAUAUUUGAAAUAAUUGAAUUUAUGCUAGAGAACACAUGUCGUUCCCCAAAAGAACUAAUCCAUGGGGUGACAUGUGGUAAUUAUUUGAUCAUUUCUUUGGAACCACUCAUCCUCAUUUGAUGUUCUUCUUUCACCAAGGUGUGAGACUACACAACAUGAACUUGAAAGAAAUCAUUAGUCUCACAAGAUAUAGGCUAAACUCUCCCUCAAUUUGUGCAUGUAAGAGUACACAAAGUACACUUAUUCACAUCAACAAUACGAGGUUAAAGGAGAUGUUUGCACUAUAUCUUGGUUGAACAUGACAUGCUUUACAUAGAUAAUGAAAAUUAAACCAAUUGAAAGUUUAAGAACUAAAAGUAUAUCAAUUGAAAUCUUGAAGGGUAAAGCAUGCUAAUAUGAACCUCAAACCUCAUAAUGAAGGAUAUCAUAUAAAUAUAUCACUACAUCUUCAUUAUUUGGUUGACAAAAAAAUAUAACUCCCUUCUUGAAUCACUGUGAUCUCUUUUCUCUUUACGAUUUCAUCCAACCAAGUUAUCAUGAACUUCUUUCAUCUUUGCUUGGUUCGAUCAUACUUGAUAUGAGACCCAUUGAAACUCAAUGAUUGAAAGAACCAAGUCUCUUAUAUUUGUAGAUUUUGAAUCCAUCUUGAAAGCACUUGGAAGGACCUUGUUGAAACACUUAGAAAAGAGAGCAUUAAAAACACAUGGGAAGGUUUCACAAAUGAUGAUCCUUAUAUGUGGAUGAAAAUGAACCAUCAUUCUUGAAACCCAAAAGGAUAGACUAAAUUCCUUUAAAUUAGUGCACACAUAUAGUUGAUGUCAAAGUUAUAUGCACUAUUGAACAUUUUAUAAUGCAAUGAAUUUAACCUAUACUAUGGUACAUCCCACUAAGGAUAGAAUACUAAAACAACUGAAGGAGAGGAAGUUUUCAUACCUUAGCCUCUUAUCAACUUCUUCUUACUUUAGUUGAAUAGUAUCCUUUAAGCUUGUGAUUUAUCCAAUUUAAAACAAGCACCAUCUCUUAACAUAGAUUUUCUAUGGAUAAACUCAACACAAGAGAUGGCAUUAGUAGCACAAGCACUAGUUUCUUAUUUAGCAACCCUUUAUAUGCGAAAGACAAGCGUGUUGCUAAAAAUAGAGAAACCUCAUAAUAUGGACUAAAUUUCCCUUGAGCCCUUAAGCACAAUAUAUUUUGAAUGAUAUGGAUAAUAUGCAUGGUUAUUCAAUGAAGUCUAAAGGGCUAACUUAAUCCAUAUUAUGGUGAGUGUCUAAUAUAGAAGAAUCAAAUCCAAAUUAACUAGAGAGAGAGUACAUCACAUAGUUUUGAAUUUGUUGACCAUAUGAUAAUAUUCAUUUAUCUUCCAAUUGGACCUUUAUUUCAUAAUCAAUAACUGAUGUAUAUCCUCAAGUGCUUCUUUUCCCUUAGUGGCUACACAAGUCACAAAAGAGAUAAGAUUUGAAAAUAAUAUGCACUUGAGAUUCAGUUGUUACCACCCUUGCUACUAUCUCCAAAUAUGAUUUAUAUAUUCAUUAUCGAGCACCCAACUUGAUCCAUUGAAGGAGUGAUCCUGCAAAACAAGUUUAAGCUUUGUAUUUUGGUACCCAAUUUUAAUUGGGUCCUUUAAGAUUAGUAGUAAGAGCCUUGGAUACCCACACAUUCCUUACUGUGGCCUUUCUCUUUGUAUAGGCACCCACAUAUACUUGACAACCAUCUUACAUGGUUUCAAGUCAAUAUUUAAUCACUUAGAUAAAAACUAGAGUUAAGAAUAGGAGCCUUUUCUCCUUUUAUUAAUACAUCGUUGUGUUGCCUUCUUGAUGAUGAACCUACCUUGACUUUGGGUGCACCUAGCUUAUCAAGGUUAGUCGCACAAGCAUUCAUAUCAUAAAGACAAGUUAUGCAUGGAAUUUACAACUUAGUGAUCUAAUUCAAUGUGAAGCAUACGGAUAUCAAUUGAAGUAGAUUUCUAAAAUAUCAAAAUAUGGGUUUUCAAAAUUUAGAGAGUAUGGAUCACUAAUUAUACCUUUUACAGUUUAAAAAUCAUAUCCAUGUUAGUGCAUAUGUAUGUGAUGAAUAUCAACAAAAAGAUUAUUAUGCACUUUUAGAAUUAAUGAUAAGGGAAUUUUAAACUGCAUCAAGAGUAGCUAUUUAGAAAACAAAGAUUACAAUCUAUAUGAAUGAGAUACAAAUUUACCAUUUUGGAUUGUCUUAGUAUAGCUUACUCAAGAGAAACUUAUUCUCUUUAACACAAGAUAUAUAAUGUUCUCCCACUAGAUAUGUGCAUUAAGUAUUUGAAUGACUUGACACAUGCACUUUCAAUUCAGUUAAGAGUCUCAUGGGGAGUACAUUACAUAUCAUGGUCAAGGCAUGACAAAUUUGCAAUGAAUUAACUUAUGCCUAAGAAUACUUACCACCAUAUAGAACGUACCAUUUGUUGUACCAAUUUGAAAGAUCUUACUAUCGGUGGUGGUGUCACUUUAGUAUUCUUCUUUUCAUCAUUUGUGGAGACUUCCUUCUUUGUUAUCUCUUUUCCUUUUAAAACUAGUCGAUAAAACACUUUGAAAAGAUGUAUUAGUAGUACAAGGAAGUAUUUAAUGAAUGAUGAUAUCUAUAUAUGAAUGGCAAACAAAUUAUCAUUUAUGAGGCAUAAAGGCAUAAACUAAAUCCCUUUAAGUUAAUGCACAUGGAGGAGUGAAUUAAAAAUAUGCACCAAUUUACAAAUUUAAGCCAAAAGAAAUUUAACCUUUAUAUUGACAAUUCUUUCCAUAAAAUAGAUUAUUACCAAUUGAAAGAAUGCCACUUGAAAGGAACUAUUAUUGGUCACAUACCAAAUGAAACAACUAGUUCCAUACCUUUGCCUUGAGCAUUCCUAAUCUUUCUUUUAGGUGAAGAUUAACCUUUAAUGCUUGUGAUUUUACCAAAUGAAAGAGCACAAUCUCUACUUAUGAAUUUCCAUGAAAUAUCUUAAAAGAGAUUGUAUUAGUAACACAAGCAAUAGUUUCCUAUUUAGCAAUCUCUAGUAUAUGAAUGACAAGAAGGUUACUAAAUUAAGGAAACCUCAUGAUAUGAACUAAAUUACCCUUACAGGCAUCAUGCAUAACAUCAAUUGAAACAAGAUAAAAGUAGCAUGAUUGUUUAAUUAAGUUUAUAGGGCAAGUUUAAUUCAUAACAUGGUGAGUGAUUAAUGUAGAAGACUCAAAACCAAUUUUAAUGAGAAUGAAUACAUCACAUAGUAUUGGUUCGAUCUUCUUUGAGCGUUGAAUGUCACACUCUAUUUGGGAAACACAUUCUCAUGUUGUGAAACUACAUAAAUCACUUAGAUAAAAACAUUAGUCUCACAACUCUAGUCAUAUAGAGAAUUCCCUUUUGGUAAGUGCUUUAAGAAUUUGAAUUUCUUACUUAGCACUCUAUUCAUUUAAGAACAUGGGAUAAUCCUCUUUAUGUCUAGGUCAUGGCAAUAAUACGAUAAUCAAUUUGAAAUAUGUCACAAGAUACAUACAACCAAUUUAAAGCAUGUAGAUUGUCAUAAUAUAAAAAUAUGAACUUGCAAUCUACCAUAUAAUUAGAUCCUUUCCAAAGCAAGGUAAAAUCUUUUAAGUUCAUUUUCAAGUGCUUCAUUUUUCCUAUGUGGCUACAAAAGACACAAAGGAAUAUACCAAUUAAAAACAAUGUGCACUUAAGAAUUAAUUGUUACCAUCCUUUGGAUAUCACUUGGUUGUAGGCCUUUUGCUUGAUUCCCACAAAGGUUAAUCCUUAUUCCCUACAACACAAGUUCUUGCUAGAGAUGAAUAUGAAGUUAGUGAUAUAACAAUUCAAUUCAUCUUUGGGUCAAUCUUAAAGGAUAGACAAUGUAAGAUUGAUAGCUUGAGAUAAGAAUUGAAUUGAACCGCUCAAGCACCCAAAGCUUCAUAUCAUCUCUGGGUACCUGCAAAACUUGUUAAUUACACUUUGGUACCCAUUUUUGGAUGGGUCCACCAAGGUUAGCCAAUAAGGACUUAGGCACCCAAAUAGCCUUAGUCCUAGAAUGUGGUGAAGUCAUCACCUUUCUAGCACAAGAGUCAAAUUUGGGUCUCCUAAGCAUAUCUGAAUGUAUUGUUAAGUUAAGCUUAGGAUUUUUACCCUUUGGACAAACCUUGAAUAGAUGACCCUUUUCACGGCAAUUGUAACAAAUGUGGUGCUUGUCCUUGCAAUGCAUUUGCCCUUUGCUUUCAUCCUUUUUGAUGGUCAUCUUUCUUGAUCGUGCAAGGUUUUGGUUCUUCAUGUGGGGGCAUGAACCAAUUUCAUGACCCUUCUCCUUGCAUCCAUAGCACCUCCUAUCGCUUCUCUUUGAUCUUUCUUUGUUGAAGCACAUAGGUACAUUGUUAGAGCAAAUAAUAUGAGCAUUAAUUUUCUCACCUUGAGUCUUGCUCAUGUCCUUCUUGGAAAGCUUGAUAUUCUUUUGAAGGGGUUUUGUGCAUGCUACGGUUGUCCCCUUCUCAAGCUUUUUCAUCAUAUUAUCACGGUUAUCUUGAGAAGGUUGAGCAUGACACUUUCCCUUCAAAAUAGUUAAGCUCCUUCUUAGCCUUCCAACUUCUUCCUUGAACUCUUUAUUUUCUUGUGUGAUAGAAAUAUCACUAAUUCCUGAAAUUUCUAGCUCAAUGGAAGAUUGGCUUUCUUGAGAGCAACAUUUGUUAGCACAUGAUAAUAUAGUUUCUACUUGAGUACAUGUGCAUAUGUGAGGUUGGUAUGAUUUAAAAUUAGUUAACACAACCUCAUGAGCCAUUUCUAACAUGAUAUGUGAAUCCAUAAAUUUAUUAUGAGAGCACACAAGCAUAUCAUGUUUUUCUUGCAAAGCUAGAUUUUCAAUAUUUAGCCUUUCUAUCGUGUUCUUGAACAUAGCAUUUUUGUUUUCUAAUUGAGCAAUAUAUGAUGAAUGAUUAACAACUUUAAUUUGCUCAAUUGAAAUGUCUUCAUACCUUUGGACCAAAUCAUCAUGAGAGCACUUUAGCUUCUCAUGCUCUUUGGUCAACUUCUCUAAGUCUUCGAUUUUUCUGAUGAGGAAGUCUUCUUGCUUAUGAAGCAUUUCUUUUUGUUCUUCUGCUCUUUUCAUGAGUUUGAGCAAGCUCAUCCGAUGUUUCUUGCUUAGUUGAGCGAAGAAUUGUUGAAGAUCGUCCUCAUCUUCACUAUCACUUUCUUGCUCCUCCUCAUCCUCACUUUCGCUUUCACUGUCACUCCCAUUAGCAAUAAAGCACAUAUGAGAAGUGGAUUUGAAAGACGAACCUUGUGAAGAGGUGGAUUCAUCGUUUGGUCUCCAUCGAUCAUUUUCUUCUUCAAUUUUGUUCUUCGCCUUAUCUUCCUUCAUUUUGAGGAACAUCCUUUCGGCGAUUCUCAUGGCAAGAUCUAUUGCCCUAGGAUCAACAUCUGCAACAAAAGAUGAAGUCGAGGCAACCUCAAAUUUUUCAAGCUUAGAAGCACUUUCGUUUCUUAGUCCCCCCGACAUGAUCUUUCCUCACGCGGUUAAGCGUUAGAACGAGGAUUAGGCUCUGAUACCAAUUGAAAGUUGCCUAGAGGGGGGGUGAAUAGGCAAGUUAAAACUUCUUCAACAAAAUCUAGAAGCAAACUGGGUAAAACUGAAUUGAUCUCGAAAUUCACCCAGUUAACUUUGGAAAUGAGAUGUUUUAAAUGAUCCACAGGGUUCAAAGUAGUAGAUCUGAGAAGGGCACUUCUCAAAAUCUACACACCAAAAAGAUAUAAACAAUUCUUUCGCGGGAUGGUGAGAGAACGAAGAACACCAACAAACACAAUGAGCAAGAACACAAGAGACACAAGAUUUAUCCCGAGGUUCGGUCACACCACCAAGGUGCCCUACUUCCUCGUUGAGGCGCCCACAAAGAGCCGGGUCUCUUUCAACCCUAAUCCUCCCUUUGCCGACCACAAAGGUCAAGCUCACACACUAAUCUUUGCUCAAACGAGCGGGUAAUACAAACUUUCUUGUGGUCUUCCACAAGAUUUGGAGACUCACAAGAGACACCUAGUCGUCUAGGAGCUAGAAGCUCCAAGAGUAAUGAAUCCACAAAGAACUCGAUGUAGUACCAAAGCUCGAAUCAAGAAGAAGAGCAAGAGAGAUUUAGAGAUGAAGCACAAAACCGCAGUUCUCAAGCUCACUCAAAGAUUUCUCUCCAAAGAUUUGAAAUGGGAGAGGCAAGAGAUGUGAGAGAGAGAGGGAGGUGUUUCUUGGGUUAGAAAUGGAGUUCAAAUCAUGCUCACUGCUGUGGGGAGAGAGGUAGGAGGUAGUAUAUAUAGUGGGAGCUCAAAACUAGCCGUUGGACUAAAAAAUCCGUUGAAAACCGGUUGAACCGCCCCCUAGGGCGGUUGAACCGCCCCUGGCAGACCUGGCAGCCUGUCUGCCAGUCUGACUGGCAGACUGACGCGCAGACUGACCACAGACUGGUCAAAGUUGACCAAGACCGGUUGAACCGCCCCUAAGACCGGUUCAACCGCCUGGGGCAGGCUGACAGACAGUCUACCAGUCAGACUGGCAGACUGCAAGUCAGACUGCAAAAACAGGUCCUGACACCGGUUGAACCGCCCCUAGGGCCGGUUCAACCGGUAUUGACCAGUGAGGUCCGGGAAAAAAACCCCGGCUGAACUUUUCUUGGACCCCGGUUGAACCUCUCUGGACCCCGGUUGAACUUGCCCUGGACCCCGGUUGAACCUGCCUGGACCCCAGUUGAAGUUGAAGUUCAGCUGGAGUUGAGAAAGUUCAACCCAGCUGAAGUUCAGCUCAGCUGCAGCUGAAGAAGCUCAACUCAGCUGAAGUCAAGUUCAGCUGGAAAGCUCAGCUGCAGCUGAAGAAGCUCAACUCAGCUGAAAAGUUCAGCUGCUUUUCAACAAGAACACUCUAGGUUUCUCAAACCUAACCAUGGUCAACCAUAGAACGUUAAAGAGAUUUUUGCUUUUCAAAAAUAGCUUUUGAAUAGAGAGGUUUGAGCUUUGGCAAACACCAACCUUCUUUUUGGAUCCCCCUUUAUAGUACGACGAUUCCUAUACUCAAGUUAAAUAAAAUAUAAUGAAGUAAACUCCUUGAGUCAUUGGUGUCUCAUGUGUGAUUUCUCCAUGGCAUUGCUUCAUAAGGAUCACAAACAUCUUUGUCUCACCUUUUGAAGCAAACUCAAAUCAAACCCUGUGACUUGUACCAUAUCACCUUAUAUGAGUUCAAAUCAUGGCUUCAAGUCACCUUACUGAUGCAUCAACAUGUUGUAACUCUUCAUAGCUGAUUAGUUCAUCGACUUAGUGCAAGUACUCUCUUCUUCACCUUAGCCAUGGUACCUCGGUCUACAAGCCGUCGCUUGACCUUCACCUUCGCUUAGUUCCUCGAAGCCCUUUCCUUGCUAUCUUCACCCUAUCAAGCCAUUCUUGAGUCACAUCAAAUUGAGCAUCCAUUGAGAGAACCAUUUCUUCAAUAUUGUGAACCUUGCUUGAAUGUCUUCUAGAUAUAAUUGUCAAGAUCAAUCAAGCUCUAGUUUGAUUCUCAUAGAAGCAUAUAUGAACUGACAGUAAUAUGGUCAAGCCAAUUCACGAUUCCUCAUAUCUUAUUCUCUUUGGCUUGACCAAUCCUCUAAAUCACUUUGUCCUCUAUUCUGGUCAUAUGUAUGUAGUGAUUUCUCAGGUCUUGUCCAUAUAUUCAAACCAAUAUAGAGAUCAUAUUAUAUCCAUUUGCAUUGUCUCAUUGGUUAUUUAACCUCGUGUUGAACCUUUGUUCACUGAUCAUUAUACACUAUUCAAGUAUGUUCAUCAUACUGAAUUUCCUGUUCAACACUUAGCAAACUCGUUAGACCUUUAAAUGUGUUGUUAUCCAAAUCACCAAAACUCACAAAAGGGAUGAAUGCACUUUCACCUUUGGGGCCGAGUGGUCCGACAAUCUUGUUGGGCCUGUGCUCGUUGACCAGAUUGAGGGGCUCUCAAUCGGCCUUGUACGGGAGGCGUCAACCUGUCCAAAAUAGAUGAUUAGGGUGCCCCUAGGUGGGGUAUUGUGGUAUCCCAAAUAGAUAUGGUGGUGUGCCCCACAUUUGAUUCGAGAUAUAUGGUGGUGGUAUGUAUGUAUAAUGAUAUGGCAUGGCCGUAUAUGGAGGUGUCCACGGAGGCACCUUAGGUCUUAAUUGAAUAUUAUGACCUUCCGUCCUUGCCGAUUGGUGAGGUGUUCUUGGUUUGACCAGUCUUGGUUUUGGCGGUCGGUCACUUGGGUCGGCCUUCUUUUUCACAUAUUUAGAUAAUAAUUGAUCAAAGGUCGGGCCAGAUUUGACCAGUCGACUAGCUGACUUAAUCGUAUUAGUUUUCCACGUACCUAUCUCUGAUCAUCGCAGUUUGAAGGUACGCGGUCAUUGUGUCUCCUGAGUGUUGCCGGACCGUCCGCUGAAAUGCCCCGAACCGUCCGGUGAUGUUCUGGACCAUCCGCGGUGCGCAGAACAGGUUCCCGCGCCUGUCCACCUGUCUGCGCUUGCCCCCCAGCGUUGGAGGUUGUGAUGGUAACCAUCAGAUUCUCCCCCCAUCAGAAGUCUUCUCGGCCACCACUUUCCUGCAAGAAAUUUUAUUGUUUUCAUCGGCCUUCCAUGCGUCGUCGUUGAUGGCUUCUUUGCCUUUUCCCUUAUCGGCUGUGCUGGGCCGAAUUAGAACCUUUUUGCCUUCGAAGUCGAUCACAUUCAUUAUUGGGAAGUGCUCCAUGUCUACCAUCAUUUCCUGAAAUUUCAAUCGUCCCUCGUUAAUGGCCAAUUGAAUCUGUCGAUUAAACACAUUACAAUCAUUAGUGGCAUGAGAAAAAGAGUUGUGCCACUUGCAAUAAGCGCAACACUUUAGUUCGUCGGUGCAUGGAACGGUAUGGUUUAUUUUAAUAUUGCUAUUUUUUGAGUAAUUCAUCAAAUAUUUUGUCACACUUGUCAACAUUAAAUGUAAAUUUAACCUCCUCUUGUUGUUUCUUUUGAACUGGCUGUAGGGUGGAACAAGCCGAAGAUUUGGCCUGUUUUGGCCAAACCAUUUCAUUCGCGUAUACUUCUUUUGAUUUGUCGUCCGAGCUACUGUGGUUGCAUUCUACUAUAUGGACAUUGUGACGAAUAGCUUUGGCAGUUUCUUUGCUUCGCCUUUCACAAGACGAAGCUCUCUGGUGUAAUUGUGCUAGCGUAAAAAACUGGACGCACUCUAAUCUCUCUUUUAAAUAAUAGCACAAUCCAUUAAAGGCUAAUCCUGCUAGCUGUUUUUCUACCAAAUGAAUUUGAAAGCAUCAGUUUCUUGUAUCCCGGAAUCUCCAGAUGUAAUCAUUAACCGAUUCAUCUUUCCCUUGUCGUAGGACCACUAAGUCUACCAAAUCUAACUCAUAAUCACCAGAAAAGAAGUGAUCAUGGAAUUUUUGUUCUAAAUCCUCCCAUGACAAAAUAGAAUUAGGAGGUAAUGUGGCAUACCAUGCGAAUGCAGUUCCUGUUAAAGAUAAUAAAAAUAAACGCACACGGAACGCCUGUGUGUCGUCCAAUUCUCCUAAUUGCGCUAGGAACUGGCCUAUGUGCUCGCACGUGCUCUUUCCUUGGUCACCCGAAAAUGUUGCAAAUUCAGUCAUCCUGGUUCCCUGUGGGUAUGGGUGAUGGUCAAAUCAGCUAUCAUAAGGUCUCUGAUAUGACUGUCCCCUAGGGACCAUGCUUACUUCAAGCUUAUCUCGGAACCCCCCGCCUAUCUCUUCCCUCAUUAUAUCAAUGGCAGUCGGUGGGAGACCACUGGCUCUCUAGUCAAACAUGGGUGAGGUUGUUUGGAUAUUAGUAUGUUGUCUUCCUCCCCAUUGGUUUGGGUUUUGUGGCACAUUAAUACUUGCCCUAUGCGGCUCAUAGGACUGGUCAUUCCUUUCUGGCCUUCUAGGGUCCGAAAAGUACUCACCCCACGGGUUUGGUAUGCUAUAUUAUGGUGCUGGUGUGUCGUAUGGUGUGAUUGGAAGUUUAGCUGGGACGGAUGCGGAGUUGGAUAACCAUCCUCCUCAAAAAGCUUUGUGCCGGACCGUCCGGUUAGGUACACGGACCAUCCGGCUAUGUGUGCGGACUGUCCGGCCAUGUGACUGGACCGUCCAGUGUUGUAUUCGGACUGUCCGACGCCAUACACGGAUGGUCUGAAUGCGUUAUCUAGGGUUUGCACAGUACGUGGCGGAUCGAGUGCAGGCCUCGGUAAUUCAUUUCUAAAAAUGGGACUGGCCGCCGCUGGUCCGAACGGUCCGCGCUCGCAUACGGAUGGUCCGGACAUGUGCAGAUCGGCGAAUUUAUCGCCGAUGUACGUGGGAGGUUGUGGUUGCCUAGGGUACGUGUCUAUCGGCAUCCCAUAAAGGUGUUGUGACUGGUCGUGACAACCUGUAGCCGAUGAAUCACGCGCGUUUUCCCCCAAUUCAACCUCGUGUGAAGGAAAAUUUGCAAUAGUAGAUUUAUCAAACGCACGUACUAGCCUUCUAUAAUCUUUUUGCAUAGCCUCUAUGAUAUUUUGCAUUUUGUCUCGCUGCUCAUCUAUAUAGUUUUUAAGAGAUUGGAGCUCGUUUGUGUCGCUCAUCUCAGGGGUAGUCGUAGUAGGUCGGACCGAAGCCAGAUCAGUCGCCCGUUACCGAACGACCUUGUUGUUCCUGACCACCUUGAAGUUGGACAGGAACUUCGCCUUUGUUUCUUGGAUCAGCUGCUCCUUGUGCUCCUCAAACUGGAGUUGUUCGUCCGCCAGCAAGGUUUCCCAAGUCGGCUCUAUGAUAUUGCUAGGGAGACAUCAGAGUUAUCCCUUGAACUGGCCAUUGAGGACCAAUUUGAUAGGUCUAUAUGUGCUUUCCCAAGUGGAGUCGCCAAAAAAGUGUGUUGACGCCGAUCAGGGCGCCAAUCACUGUGAUGAGAACCGGUGCCGGUGCACUCUGAGUAAGCGCGGACGGUCCGCGGCCAGGGGUCGGACGGUCCGCGACUUGGCGCAGAGGCUGGCGUUCCUGCCUGACGGGCCGGACGGUCCGCGCGUGCGCAGGGGCGGCGGAGUUCGCCGGCACUGUCUGGAUCUCACUCCCGGGAGGGACCUGUGGCAAAACCGCCCGAAUUAUUCCAGCUUAAGUGCCUAAGUCACGCCUCAGGGGCCGUAACACACUUAAAUCGGAAUAACCCGUCAGUCCCUCAGAUCUAGUCUGAUAGAGCCACUUAACCAGGAUCAAAUUCCACAAUCUCACUCGAAGGUGAGUCACAGAAGAAAUACAAUAAAACAGGAAACCUCAAAUUAAGUACUGAGUUAUUACAUAGAUCGGAGUUUUUGAGUAGAAAAUAAGAGUUCACAAAAUAAAAUGCAGCGGAUAAUCGAUGUCGUCGGUAUCGAGGAAAUGGGCAAGGCCUAGCCCACUACUCCUCGUGCUCCUCUCCUGCCGGAGCAACAUCCCACUCGACCGUCCAACCCGGUGGCAGGGUGGUAGGCCAAGGCACACCAUCAACCAUUUCCUGAAUGGUACCUGCAAAAAUUAUGCCACAAGCAAGGCUGAGUAUACUAAUACUCAGCUAGACUUAACCGGUGUGAGGAGUCUACUCCUCUACCUCUAGACUAUGCAGCUGUUUGGCUGAGGGGUUUGGUUUGCCAAAAGCACUAGCUGUUUCUAAAAUCAAUUUUUAGCUUUUCAAAUUCUACCAUCCUUAACUUAGCUAGAUUUGCUCCUUCCAAGCAUACAUGGUGACAAGCAUUUAGUUCAAUCAACAAGUUAUCUCAUGUAACCUCAUUUCACUUCUUACUCAAUGCAGUACAAGGGGUCAAGCAGUCUCAUUAGCUGCGAGAAGCAGACGAUUCGAAUCGAGUUUUAACCUUGCAAGGUAAACCUAAACACACGGCAUGUCAGGGUACUCCGACCCCACACAUGACAACCGUCCCCAUCGAUUCCCCGUUCGCGUCCAGGCCUCACCGCCUUGGCAUACAAUGCUCCACUGACCCCGGCUGCCGCCGUGUAGUGACCGCACUUGUACCCACCAUAGCUAGCAUGGGAGACCCAGUCUCAGGUCGCAUGAGGGAUAAAGUCUGCGCUCGGCUUCACUCAGGUACUAGGUUUACCGGUUACCAUUUUUCCCGGCAUGUGCUUAGUACGUUCAAAAGCUUGACUCAGGUAUCCACACAUUAAUCAUUAAUUCCUUUUUCCCGUCUCGUGAACAAGGCAUCCUCCCUAGAUCCAAGUCCAUAUACUAACAUAUAUCCCAUUAUCAAGAUGAAUACAAUCAAUUCCUGACCUCACGCGAGUGCUAGAAAAAUCACUCGACUUCUACCGAGAUCCUGAUUAGCAAGCAGCUACUCGUCCUAGCAUACUAGUAUUCAUCUCAAAAGGAAUCCUAAGUUCAUGCAACUAGAGGUUUCAAGCAACUCCUACACUUAAGUGCACAUUACAAUCCUACAAGCAUUAAGUGUAGUAAAGUAGCAUAUAAUAAUACGGUUAUGCAUAAAACCGGGGCUUGCCUUCAAUUGCUGGGGCUGCGGGGAGAUCCUCAAUAGCAGCCUCGGAAGCCUGCUCCUGGUCCUCCUCUUGGACAGGUCCUUGCUCGGGGAUGAGCAUGUACUCUCCGUCGGCAAGAUUACAAUCUAAUGAAUACAAUGCGUAAGAUACAUGCAUGAUAUGAUAGGUGCUUUUAGAAAUUACAAACCUGACGAUGUAUGAUCUACUUGAGUUAAACAAGGUUAACUUUACUUAUGCAAGACCCUUGGGUGGUAUACUUGGUAAAUUGGGUCAAACUUAGCUAAGGUAAGUGGUAGGUUUAUUUCUGGGGUUCCACUGAAUUAUUUUUAAGUCUUAGUGAGAAUUGAUAAGUACUCAAGUUAGACUUGUUGUGGUGAGGUUUAAUUCUCCUUUCCUUUUUCUUUUAUUCUCUUUAAUGUUUUGGAGUGGGUUUGAACUACAAGUUGCUUUUAUAAAAUUCCACAAAUUCUGCAAAAAUUACAGUGGCUUGGUACUGGUGUUUGUUUCUCUGUCUCAAAAUUUGGGGAUCAGAAAGUGAAUAGUUUUCUCUGGAUAAAAUUAUCAAAUUUUAGGGCAGAAGGGGUGCUUUGAACUACAACUAUUAUUUAACAGUGGGUAAUUCUCUAAAACUUAUUUUUGCUGGCUUUUAGGUGUUAUAACAUGAUUUGGUACAAAUUUCUAGUCAUUAAUACCUUUUAAUUAUUUUACUAUGGUUUUCUCAAGUUUCUAGCCAAAUAGGUGCUUUCUACUACCACUAUACUUGAAAAGUAUCAAACAACAGAGUUCUUAUUUUUCUUAGUUUUUGUUUUGCGCAAGAGAAAUCAUUCUGAAGUUUGGCAUCUUUUUGCUUAAGGGAAGGGGUGGUAUGCAUUAUUUGAAUUAAGUGGCCUUUCUCAUAAAUCAUUAGCAAUAGGUAAGAGUUUGCUCCUUUUUCAUGGGUUUGCAUUUUUCUCUGGUGGUUUAUCUCAUUAUGGACUUAGCAAAUUUUUGGUUGCCCAUUAUUGCAUCAUUAGGGGUUGUUCAUGAUUUAUUUGGAAAAUGCCUCAUUAGCAUUUUAUAUUUAUUUUCCUUACUUAAAAUAUUGGGCUGAGGUGUUCUUUAUUUUUGUAGUGGGGCUCUGGUGGUUGUAAGUCCACUGGAUUUUUAUUAUCCAUUUUGGGUAUAGUUUUGUAAUUCUAAUAAUAGAUUUUCAGUUCAAAUAAGGCUAAAUAAAGCAUUCUAAUUUAAAACUGAUCUGGACUAAUGGUCUCUCUAUUUUUCCUAGGUUCUCUGUUACAUAAGCAAACUAGGAAAAAUAAUUUUACUCACUAUUCAUUAAUUUCUAAUGUCUUUCUGAUUUUUCCUUAGUUUUGGGCAAAAUAGCUUUAAAUGAAUAUCUACAUCAUAUUUUUCAAUGAUGGGGUUCCUACUAUUUUUAAACAGUGUCUAAAUGAGGUUUGAAUACCUACAAAUUUUCUUAGGUUCAGUACAGAAGAAAAACUAAUUUUCCUUAAUUAAACAAGGUUUGGUAAGUUUCUGUUUUUAAUUUUAAACUCUAAAAUUCAGAACAGAAAGCAUAGGGUUUAUCAUUUUUAAAUGAUAGUUCAUAAUAUUCAGGAUCUAGCAAAAUUAGUUUGACAACUUUUUAUUAAUAAUUCAUCAAGUUAUGGAUUUUCUAAGUUCUCUGGUUAUUUAAAAAGAUUAACAGAAUUGAUUAAAUGGAAAACUACUUUGCACUGGGGUCCCUGGCGGGUGUUUUAAGUUUUCUUCGCGGAUCAGUCCCUAGGCUACUAUUCACAUGGGUCACUGACGUUAUAGAAAACCCCUCGGGUUCUUCAAAUCCUAACCCGAGGUCCUUCUCCUAACUUAAACAGUAACCGCGGCGGAGGAAAGGGCGGAGGGGCUUACCGGCGGCGAGAUUGCUCCGGUGAGGUGGUCGAGGACGUAGGGGAGGUCUCGGGGAUCACAACGGUGUGCGGGUCGCCGUCGGGGAUGGCCGGAGUUGGUCGGUCCACGUGCGCAGGCGGGGAUGCUCGUCGGCGGCGAGGAGUCCGGUCUGCUCACGGCGAGAUAGUUCAAUUGGACGGGUCAGAGAGAUUCACGGGAUGCCAGAGAAGAUGUGGGUGCAAGGAAUUGGACGGAGACUCACCGGUUAGCUCUGUCCACGCGCGGCGGCGGAAGGCCGAAGUCUGGUGAGGUCGAUCUCGGGCCUCCGGGGAAGUCCGGUCUGGUCCGAGGGCUUGGAAAGCUUUACGGGCCACUGGCGGAGCUAGCCGAAGCACUGGCUCGACUUGGGGGUGGCUGGAGUGGGCUGGCCACGGUGGCCGAAGCUCUGGCGGCAAUGGCGGGCGGAAUUGAGCUCGCCGGAGCUAAGGAGAGGGGGCUGGCCGGUGAAGGUGAGCGCGGGGUGAAGUGAGGCGCGCACGGGGAGGCUUUAUAGGAGCGGGCGAGCACGGUCGAGGGCGGGGCUCUGACAUGCGCUCGGGGCGUGCGCGGCGAACACCAGUGCGCGCUCUGGCGCCUGGCACAGCGUCGAGCACGAGGCAGCGCAGAGAAAGGUCAAGUUCAAACGCGGAUUGGGCCCAAAUCUUUGAGAUUAAGGCCACGAUCCCGUUGAGAGAUCUCUUCCUCUUAGGUCCCUUUGUCGUUUGUGUGUGGAGGCUAGCAAGUUUCGCUGACUGGAUUAAGAGAUAGAGAGGGGAGAAAUCCUGUUUGUCUCACUGCCACACACAGGGAGAAAAUCCCUGGUUUGACGUGUCCGAGGCACGCGUCCCAAUGCCAUCUCCUCGCACAUGACAGAGGGGUUAGUUAGGCACAUUUUUGUCAAUGGGGUCAUUAGGAUUCGAGUUAGGGAUCAAGGUGAACAUCCUUGAUCUUUGGCUCAAGGUCUGAAUUUCAGAAUUCUGAAAUUCAGAAUUCCCAUUAAGUCCCCACAUGAGAAGCUUGAUUUGGGGUUUUAUUUGAGUUAUUUUGGCUAAGCUUUCUCAACCUUUCUUGUUGUUUAUUAAGUAUACUUCAAUGUUUAUAAUUGGCUCAAGUCUUAAUUUUAAAUUUUUCAUACCCUUUUCCUUAUUUUCUUGAAUUUUGCUCAUGGUGCUCACUUAGGGUUUUUAUUAGGGUUGCAACAUUAUUACCUUUUGGAAAGACCCAUUUGUUUUGAUCAUGAGACUUUUAAGUAUAUGCUUGGUGAAUUCUUUAUUCUUAAGUUAAUUUGAUGCUCAUGCUUACUUUGCUUCUCAUAAAAUGAUGGUUCUUGGUUUGGCAUUUUAAGAGAAACCCUAGGUGACACUGGGGUGUCACAGGACCCGUCGGGGAGGAGAGGUCCUAUGCUUUGUCUAUAGUCGGCAGGCCGACCUAGACACCUAUAAUCGAUGUAGAGCCGAAGAGAAACAGAGAAUUUGGGGAUUGAGAGGUUAAACUAGAACUAAACUAGAGCGACUCCUAAAUGUACAAGAUAAAAUGCAAAUUUUAUUGAUUGUAGGUUCGAUUGUUUAUCCCAAUCAACUGUAUUCCUUUAUAUUUAUAGAGGAGGGGUCUGGACCCGUUACAAACCAAUCUCCCGAGUUAAUUCCGCGAAUUUAGCUAACAACCGUCACAAGAAACUCGGAACCCUAACUGUCUCUGCACGCGAUACUGAUGCGGACCGUCCACCUUGUCUAUUUUGGUGCUCAACACUUUUAUUUGCUGGUCAUUACUUAGGUCAGGUACCACGUGAUUGGUUGCUCGGAUAGCUACACUCAGGCUCGUUGUAUGCAUUGACCGUGAAUGGGCAUACGAUUGGUUACCUGCACUAUCCGGGUGCAGCCUGCAUGCACGGAAGCAGGCCAAGCAUUUUUUCAACCCUCCGCCUGCACGCGUGGAGAUGCUAGUGAGAGGCUUCCCGGAUCGUCCAGGCCAGCGUGAGCAUGGCUCCCGUUGGCACCACAACCAAUCACGCCGGUAGCGGGGCUAGUUAUCACCAGAUCCUAGUUGCUGCAUCCAUCUAACAGAAUCUUUUCGGGUGACAGAAUGUUAUCAAACUACUCGUGAAUAAGUUCAAGGGAUUGGCCUCAGUAUCUAUUAAGAAUGAUGUCUCUGCCGGAAUGAUUUGUUGUCAAGAUAAGCCCCAGCAGUUCCACGGCUUCCAACUUCGUCAAGCCCCGCCUUUAAAUGGAAAAAACGCUAAAAUUAUGUGUAAAUUAGGAUUCAAAUCAUGGUUGUUGCCUCUAAACUCACAUUUACACUUAUCUAGCCAAUAGAAUACACAUGACUUUAUGUUUUAUACUCUAUACUCAAGUAUAAAGUUGCUAAUCUCAAGCAUACUACUCUACCCAUAUGCUAUGAAUUUGAGCCUGAAUAGAGAUUUUGAAAUAUUUACAUGCCUGACAGGAGAAGUUUUGAUUUGUCCAUCAUAGACAUCAAGCGGCCGAUAGAUUCAUUAAAACCAAAACUUUAUUAUGACCAUGCAUAUAUUAUUGGUCAUACCACACAUGAUAAUGUGUGUCGUCUUACUGCAUUAUUACAUAUAUAGAUAGAGAGAGAUGGAUAGAGGAGAUUUCCCAAAUAUCAUGAAUCAGUAGUAGGGCGGAAUGGCAGCGGAGACGCCACAGGGGUUGGUGCGGUAGCUGGGCAGCUGGUACUGGUAGAGUCCACCCAUGGCCGGCAUGUUCUGCGCCAUCAUCAUGGCCAUGGGGUUGAGACCCUGGGCUGCCAGCAGCUGCUGCUGCUGCUGCAUCAGAGCUGGCUCGUACAGGCUGCUGCUGGCGGCAGCGGCACGCUCAAGCUGCAUCAUCAUCUGCAGCUGCUGCGCGACGGACUGCACGUCCAUCAUCCUCAUCUGCUGCUGGCAGCACUGUUGCCGGAGCGGCUGGAACAUGGCGCUCGGCUGCCCACACCCGGCGUAGUAGGGCGCCGCCGCCAGCGGGCUGCACUGCGGCUGCCUCAGGUACUCCGCGUAGGGGUACAGCCCGCCGGCGCCCAUCAUCGUCGUCAGGCCGGCGCCAGCGCCGUACAAGCCCUGCAGCCCCGCGCAGGGGCAGGGCAUCUGCAUUGCAGAGGCGCUGGCAGCUGACAGAGCCAGGCACACGACGAGAACGAUGACCAUCUUCAUGCUGUUCUGUUCGACGAUCCUCUCUACGCACUGCCGCUUUGCUGAUCUGGAUUGGAUGAUGAUAGAGACUAGUUCAUAUGUGGGAGCUAGCCAUUUAUAGAUGAUCCAUGGCUUGCAUUCUGCAGCAUCUUGCAACCCAUGGUUUUGGAAUGUUGCGUUGCAUGACGUGGAAACAUAGUACAUGGAUUUGGAUUUACAGAUAGAUCAUUAAGCUUUCUUAUACAUAUGAAUCAACUUUAC
rnacentral:lncRNA from 1 species